rnacentral:rRNA from 1 species
UACGGGGGGGGUAAGCGUUGUUCGGAAUUACUGGGCUUAAAGGGUUUGUAGGCGGCCUUGUAAGUCAGGUGUGAAAUCCCUCGGCUCAACCGAGGAAUGGCGCUUGAUACUGCAAGGCUUGAGGGAGACAGGGGUAAGCGGAACUGAUGGUGGAGCGGUGAAAUGCGUUGAUAUCAUCAGGAACACCGGUGGCGAAAGCGGCUUACUGGGUCUCUUCUGACGCUGAGGAACGAAAGCUAGGGUAGCGAACGGG